rnacentral:rRNA from 1 species
AUUAGCUUGCUAAUCUGCUGACGAGUGGCGGACGGGUGAGUAAUGCUUGGGAAUCUGGCUUAUGGAGGGGGAUAACUACGGGAAACUGUAGCUAAUACCGCGUAAAAUCUUCGGAUUAAAGGGUGGGACUUUCGAGCCACCUGCCAUAAGAUGAGCCCAAGUGGGAUUAGGUAGUUGGUUAGGUAAAGGCUGACCAAGCCGACGAUCUCUAGCUGGUCUGAGAGGAUGACCAGCCACACUGGAACUGAGACACGGUCCAGACUCCUACGGGAGGCAGCAGUGGGGAAUAUUGCACAAUGGGGGGAACCCUGAUGCAGCCAUGCCGCGUGAAUGAAGAAGGCCUUCGGGUUGUAAAGUUCUUUCGGUGACGAGGAAGGUUGAUAGGUUAAUAGCCUAUCAAAUUGACGUUAAUCACAGAAGAAGCACCGGCUAACUCCGUGCCAGCAGCCGCGGUAAUACGGGGGGUGCGAGCGUUAAUCGGAAUAACUGGGCGUAAAGGGCACGCAGGCGGUGACUUAAGUGAGAUGUGAAAGCCCCGAGCUUAACUUGGGAAUUGCAUUUCAUACUGGGUCGCUAGAGUACUUUAGGGAGGGGUAGAAUUCCACGUGUAGCGGUGAAAUGCGUAGAGAUGUGGAGGAAUACCGAAGGCGAAGGCAGCCCCUUGGGAAUGUACUGACGCUCAUGUGCGAAAGCGUGGG